CCUACGGGAGGCAGCAGUGAGGAAUAUUGGUCAAUGGGCGCGAGCCUGAACCAGCCAAGUAGCGUGAAGGAUGACUGCCCUACGGGUUGUAAACUUCUUUUAUAAAGGAAUAAAGUGAGGCACGUGUGCCUUUUUGUAUGUACUUUAUGAAUAAGGAUCGGCUAACUCCGUGCCAGCAGCCGCGGUAAUACGGGGGAUCCGAGCGUUAUCCGGAUUUAUUGGGUUUAAAGGGGGGGUAGAUGGUUUGGUAAGUCAGUUGUGAAAGUUUGCGGCUCAACCGUAAAAUUGAAAUUGAAACGGGCAGCCUUGAGAGCAGUGGAGGUAGGCGGAAUUCGUGGUGUAGCGG
rnacentral:rRNA from 1 species